UGAUGAGACGUCUCCGGAAUCGCUGCACCUCCGUGAUGAUGCUCUUGAACCCUUGAUCUCUGAUGGCCGCGACCGUUCC
rnacentral:snoRNA from 1 species